GGCGGCGUGCCUAAUACAUGCAAGUCGAGCGCAGGAAGUCAUCCGAACCCUUCGGGGGGACGUUGACGGAAUGAGCGGCGGACGGGUGAGUAACACGUAAAGAACCUGCCCUCAGGUCUGGGAUAACCACGAGAAAUCGGGGCUAAUACCGGAUGGGUCAUCGGACCGCAUGGUCCGAGGAUGAAAGGCGCUUCGGCGUCGCCUGGGGAUGGCUUUGCGGUGCAUUAGCUAGUUGGUGGGGUAACGGCCCACCAAGGCGACGAUGCAUAGCCGACCUGAGAGGGUGAUCGGCCACACUGGGGCUGAGACACGGCCCAGACUCCUACGGGAGGCAGCAGUAGGGAAUCUUCCACAAUGGACGAAAGUCUGAUGGAGCAACGCCGCGUGAACGAUGAAGGCCUUCGGGUCGUAAAGUUCUGUUGUAAGGGAAGAACAAGUGCCGCAGGCAAUGGCGGCACCUGACGUACCUGCGAGAA
rnacentral:rRNA from 1 species